rnacentral:rRNA from 1 species
GAUGGGACAGACAAAUUCCCCAAAAACACAAAGUUUUGGUCCUAAACUUGCCGUUGUUUUUAAUCAAAAUUACACAUGCAAGCAUCCGCACACCAGUGAGAAUGCCCUACAAAGUACCAAGGAGCAGGUAUCAGGCACAACCAAUUAGCCCAAGACACCUUGCUAUGCCACACCCACACGGGCUACCAGCAGUGAUAAAUAUUAAGCUAUGAGCGAACAACCAAUUUAAAGCUCGACUUAGUUAUGAUUACAAGGGCCGGUCAACCUCGUGCCAGCCACCGCGGUUAUACGAGGGGCCCAAAACAUCGGACAUCGGCGUAAAUUAUGGCUAGAGAAACUACUUACACCACGGGAAAUAAACACAAACCCAACCGUAAAACCUGGGACAAAAGAAACUCUAAUUCCCAAACAUAAAGUAACUUGAACCCAUGAAGACUAAGAAACAAACUAGGAUUAGAUACCCUACUAUGCUUAGUUGUUAACACGACAUUAAAUAACACUAAUGUCCGCCAGAGGAUUACGCGCGAAAAGCUUAAAACUCAAAGGACUUGGCGGUGCUCCGUACUCGCCUUAGAGGAGCCUGUCCUAUAAUCGAUACUCCACGCUUCACCUUACCAUCUUUUGUAAAACAGCCUAUAUACCGCCGUCGCAAACUUACCC